rnacentral:lncRNA from 1 species
CUUCUGCUCCAAAAGUCUUCUGUAUUAUUUUUCACUUAUGCAGCAAGUCAAACUCGGUUUGAAAACCGGAAAGAUGAUGAUGAAGACGUCGGAAGCGAGAAAGAGAAAAAAGCUGAGGAAAAAAGUGAAAAGGAAACCGAAACUCAAGAAGAACCUGAAAAGGACCCAGACCCAGCAGGUGGCAGCCCGGGAAAACCCAGUGCUUCAGAAGACUAGAAAGAAAUGGAUGAAGAAAGAAGACGAAUCCGGCGUGUCACUCUUUUUCGGUUUUUCAGUGCUUAGAAAGUUAAAGGGAUCUCAUUUGUCACCCCAAAUAUGAUACCUGAGUUUUCUCUUGUGUUACAGAUUUACUGACAGCAUUUGUUCAAGUUAGAAAUAAGUUUGUUUUAAAUGGCAAAGUGGAACUGUAGGUAGAUCUUUUUCAAAAUAGCACUCAAAUCUGUUUUACUUGAAAUGAAUAACUUUCCAACACUUGGUAAACUUAUUUUAAAUUCCUUAAUUGCAGAAUAAUUGAAGUGUGAAGUUAAAUUUUUUUCUAAGGAGAGAGAUGGAUGUCAAGGCUUUCUUUAAAACUAGGUUAUAUAAGUCAUUUAGCCAGGUAUGGCUACUGAGCAAAUAAAAUGUGACUAGUCUGAUUUGAAAUAUGCUGUACGUGUGAAAAGCAGUGUCAAAUAUGUUAAUAACUAAUUGCAUAUUGAUAGUAUAUUUGAAUAAAUAAAAUGC